UUCUUCUGAGCGCCUGAAGGCAGCGUCAAAUGCAUCAAGAGGAUUCCGUAAUAACCCUAAAAAGACCAGCAAUUUACACUGAAUAUAAGACACAUGGCAUGACCUCUUACCAUAAUGCUCUACAAUCAAACUCAAAUGCACCAUUGCAAAAAAGCCAGAAGUGGACCGAAAUCAGCCCGAUUUGUGGCGACUGAGUGAGGUCGAAAAGGUUGCAGAUGUAGUUCAUGUUUUCCCAGCUUGUCUCGCCUGGACAAGCACUUGAAGGACUGCCACAUUCUUUCUAAACACACAUUUUGUCAUGACAUGAUCGAGUGUCCUUGUGAUGGUGAAUCAGAGAGGAUCAGGGUCGAUGCCACAUUAGGACUGUGGUUCCCAACCUGGGCUCGGCACCCUACAAGGAGUCGCUGGAUGAAUCUAAGGAGUUGUCAGGCAAGACAAAAAAUCUUCUACACAAAAUCCUGUACUUUUUUUUGUUUUGUUUUUUUUGCUUCAUCCUCUGAUUGAUCUGCUCACAAAUUAAAGACAUACAUCCAAUCGAAAAAGGGUUAUGAGAGAUGUUUUGUGUUAAGGGGUUAUUUGGGAACCACCGCACCAAACAUCUGGGAUUUAUCUCCUCUAUUUCUGUCCAAACAGUUCCACUUGGGGGAGCUGUUUACACAUUGCAUACAGUACUCUGACGUACAGAUCGUACAGAUCUCCACUUUGAUGGCAUUAUUAAUGUAUGCCACACUUGAAGGUGACAGAGAGCAAUGGUUCUGGGGUUUAGUGUGGGCUCAGAAAGUGGAGCAGUUAAAUGCAGCGUUCUCACUGCCUCUCCGGCUGCUCCAUAUACAGCAAGUGACCCACUUUUAUUCUCCCAUCUUCACUGCCUGACACCAGCCAAUGUUUUCUAGAGGAGGGGGGGUGUGGGAUUUCUAGGUGAGGAGAAGGGAAAAAUCAUACA